AUUAAACGCUGGCGGCAUGCCUUACACAUGCAAGUCGAACGGCAGCACUGGGGCAACCCUGGUGGCGAGUGGCGAACGGGUGAGUAAAGCAUCGGAACGUGCCCUGGAGUGGGGGGAUAACGUAGCGAAAGUUACGCUAAUACCGCAUAUUCUGUGAGCAGGAAAGCAGGGGAUCGCAAGACCUUGCGCUCUGGGAGCGGCCGAUGUCGGAUUAGCUAGUUGGUGGGGUAAAGGCCUACCAAGGCGACGAUCCGUAGCGGGUCUGAGAGGAUGAUCCGCCACACUGGGACUGAGACACGGCCCAGACUCCUACGGGAGGCAGCAGUGGGGAAUUUUGGACAAUGGGCGAAAGCCUGAUCCAGCCAUGCCGCGUGAGUGAAGAAGGCCUCGG
rnacentral:rRNA from 1 species